rnacentral:rRNA from 1 species
AGCGAACGCUGGCGGCAGGCUUAACACAUGCAAGUCGAACGGUCCUUCGGGAUAGUGGCGGACGGGUGAGUAACACGUGGGAACGUACCCUUAGGUUCGGAACAACACAGGGAAACUUGUGCUAAUACCGGAUAAGCCCUUCGGGGGAAAGAUUUAUCGCCUUUGGAGCGGCCCGCGUCUGAUUAGCUUGUUGGUGAGGUAAUGGCUCACCAAGGCUACGAUCAGUAGCUGGUCCGAGAGGAUGGUCAGCCACACUGGGACUGAGACACGGCCCAGACUCCCACGGGAGGCAGCAGUGGGGAAUCUUGCGCAAUGGGCGAAAGCCUGACGCAGCCAUGCCGCGUGGAUGAUGAAGGUCUUAGGAUUGUAAAAUCCUUUCACCGGGGACGAUAAUGACGGUACCCGGAGAAGAAGCCCCGGCUAACUUCGUGCCAGCCGCCGCCGUAA